ensembl:lincRNA
UUGUUGUUAGUUUGUUCAUUUGUUUGUUUUUUAAGAAAAAUGGAGGAGGGGAUGGAUCUGGGGAAGAAAGGAGGUCUAUGCUUGUGGAGGGGCUGGGAGAGAGGAGGAAGGGAAAUGCAAUCAGGAUGUGAUGUAUGAGAAAAGAAUAAAAGAAAAAAUUAAAAUCUUCCCAUGCCUGGAAAGAAAUCAGAUGUCCAGGUACAUGAAAAUCAAAGACACUAGUCACAUUUAAUUUAACCAAGUCUACCCGAAGACAGCUUAUAAUAAGCUCUUGAGGUAAAGAUGAAGACAGGAUUUUCUAGGCCUCAUUAAAACAAUAAUGUAGGGAUGUUCCAAUUAAUCUGACAGCAAACUUGUCAGCAGAAACUUCACAGGUCAGCAGAGAAAGGGGUGAGAUUUUUCACAGCUUAGGAAGAAAAAAAAAAACACCAACAACUGAGAAUAUCUUACCCAACAAGGUUAUAAUUUCAGAAAUGGAGGAGAAACGAAGGCAUUCCCAACAAAAAACAAGAGAGUGAUCGCCACCAGACUCGUGUGCUCUAUGAGAAAAUUUAAAGUAUGCCGAACAUAAAGGUACUUUUAAAACGGAAAGAAAUGGGUAGAUAAACAGGAUUAGAAUCUAGAGAGAGAGAGAGAGAGACUGACUACAUAGCAAAAGAAACAACUGCCAGAGUGAAUAAACAGCCCACAUGAGGAAAAGGAUCUGUUCAAAGCAUAUUCUGACCAAGCGUUAGAAUCCAGGGUAUGUAGGAAACCCCACAAAACUCAAAGGCAAAACAAGAAAGAGCAGACAUAUAUGUGCAGUAGAUCUAAAUAGGAAUUUCUCAAAAGAUGAUCUACAAAUUGAGACAGCAGGGACUUGGAAAAAAAAAUCUCAGCAUCACUAACUGUCGGGAACUGCGAAUCAAGGCCAAGAGAAGAUGUCACUUUGCCACAGUGAAGUGGCUUCUGUCAAAAGGUUAAGACAGGUAUGGUGUUCUUGGAUGACUGAGGCAGGAUGAGUUCUGUAAGUUUAAGGUCAAUCUGGACUGCAGAGUAAAGACCCUUUCUCAGAAUAAAAAGGAAAGCAAGUUCAUAAACAAACAAACAUUAACAAAUGCUGGUUAAGGAUGUGUAGAAAAUGCAGUCUUUGUAUAUUAGUGGUCUAAAUGUAUGUUAAUUAAUAAAGAAAGGGUGAAAACCCUAUUUAACUUCCUUAAAAAUCUUAAAGUAAUACCACCACAUGACUAAGGAAUUCUAUUGAUUAACGUAUUUCACAAGGAAAAAAAAUAUUGUACUCAAGGGUCAUUUCCACUCCCUUGUCAUUCAAAAUGGUAAGAGAAAUGGACAAGAAAUAAAACCUGCCAGUCAUUCCCUGGUGAACACAUGAAGGAAAUGUAGCUCAUACAAAUUAUAUUAUUCCUUCGGAAAGUGAAUGAGACCCUGCUGUUUGUGACAUGGUCAAACUGUACGAGUAUUACAUGAUCUCGUUCAUAUGAGAAACUGACUCCUUCUUUUUUUUAAACAAAGUCUUGCCAUGUAUCCGCCAACCCCCACCAGCACGUAGACCUUACUAUGUAGACUAGACUGGCCUCAAGCACACACUAACUCUGCCUCUGUGAUUAAAGUCAUGUGCCUGGCCACAUGUGGGAUUUUAAAAAGCGUAUACCAUAGAAACGGAACUGGUGGUUGACUGGGAGGAAGAGUGUAGAAUACGUAGUGACAGGAAAAUCAAUAGGUACUAAGCUACAGUCGGAUGGAACAGGAACUUCUGAUGUGCUAUUGCACAGCAAGGUGACUGCAGAUAAUAGUGUCUGGUACAUGUCAAAGACAAAAGGAAAAAAAUUUUGAAUAUUUCGGUCACCUGCUCAUCACUCGCCUCAAGGGACUGAUUGAGGGUUGACCCUGAUGCGCCACCAGACCUCACUCGGGGCGUCUCAGUGUACGAACCACUGACUGAGCGGCGGGAUCUUACAUUUGGGGGCUCGUCCCUGGAUUUGAGGAGACCCCCGGACUAGACUGAUCGGAGGGGAAAGGCCAAGCUCAGCACAGCAACAGGCGCCUAAGUGAGUGUUUGUCUAUCCUGGGCUUUACUUUUGGCUCUUGGUGUGGCUGGAAAUCCUCGGGUCUGGCGUGAUCAGUUGCUGCGGUCUGGAGGACGAUUCAGGCGCCCCCUCCCCCCCCCCCCGCUCCCAAGAGGGAGUCAGGAGGACUCUGCUCCCUUUAGAAAUGGCAAGACACAGUAUCGCUGGGAGUCCACCCAGUCUUGCUAUAACCUAGUCUCUGCGCCCAUGGCAGGGGCAAACUGUCUGUCUAACCUGGUUUCUGUACCUGUGGCAGGGGUGAGCCGUCUCUGCGUUGAUUGUCUUUCUGUGUGUGUUGGUGUUGGUCAUCUCAUUCUAUGUUCUUAGACUUGGACUGACGACAUUUUUGGACAUGGAACAGACUGAAUCUACCCUGUUAAACAUCCUAGUUAGCCACUGGAGGGAAGUUGGGAAAGAGGAGAAAACGUGUCAGUAGUAUUAAAGAAGUUACUCUCUGCUCCUCCAAAUGGCCCACCUUCAGAGUAGGGUGGCCACCCGUAGGGACCUUCAACUUGCAAGUGAUCAAAGCAGUAGAGGAAAGAGUCCUUAGGCCAGGAUCCCUCGGGCACUCAGACCAAGUGCCCUACAUAGUUACCUGGAAGAAUAUAGUGGAGGGCCCCCCACCCCCCGGAUAAAAGUAUUUUGUCUCUAAGACUCUUGCAGGUCCUGUCCAUGAAGGAGAAGAACCUGCAGAGACCAACGAGUCUGUAAAGAACUUUCUCCAGGACCAUAACACAGGGGAUCUGCUACUGAUGGGUCCAUGAUGCUUGCACAGAGCGAAACUACCUAAGAAUGUCCCUUUUCGGAAUUCAUUUCUGUUGGAAUUCAUUUCUGUUGUGAUCGAAGCACUAUUGCUUUGACUUUGAAGCUUUUAUAGGAGAGAUGGCUUUGACACAGUCUGGAGGUCAUUGGGAGAGGCAUAAGAGAUUAAAACAUACACAUAUACUAGAAUUAGAUAUUGUUCUUCCAGCCAAGAUAGAAGACCAGGAUAAUGAUAAUGUGGCAUAAAUGUAUGUUUUGCAAAUCAGCCAACUUAAUCGGCGUGUAGGCUUGCCCUUACAUGAAGCCCCCAGCAGCCUUGCGAUCAGCAUCAUUUCUAAAAGCAGUGUUAUAGAGUGAACACCAAUCCCCCAUCCCUUAACAAAGGCAAAAAACUUUCCUGGCAUGCCCAAUUUAGUAGUGAAAAUGAGAUUUGUCUUUAGUGGUGAGAAAUCUCUAUGCCAUCUGAUAACUGUGGUUUGCAUUGUUCAGAGUAAUUAAUUGUGAUAGACAACUAAAUCUCAGGGGUUUAACACAGUAUGAGUGUCUUUCUCAUUCUCACCGCAGCCCCACACUGGCCAGGAAGAACUCUCUCUGCUGGAACAUCUGGAACACACACUCUCCAAGGUUGCCUCCACUGGGAGGCAGAACGAUAGGAAGCACACACCAGCUUCAACUUGCCCCAACUGGGAAGAGAGACAGAGACCAUUGGUAGACUUAGUAAUCUGUCCCUAAGCCAAGGGAGGGAGCAAAUGAGAAGAGGAGAGGGAAGACAUAAGCUUAUUCUACGGGAAAAAGAAGUGCCCACAGAAGCCUUGUCUUCAUUGCCCUUGGUAGAGGCAUCGCCCCAGACACAUUGCGUGGGAAUUUUCAUGAGUAUUUUAUGCUGUUGCCACUGUAGCUAAGGAUGAUUCUUAGGCCAGACUCCAAAUGAAUAAUAGCACUUUUAUAUUCUUUUA